CACCAGAGUGCUGUUUAGGUCUAACAUACGGUGGCAAAGCAGUUGACACGUGGGCUGUGGGAGUUACAUUGAAGGUGUACUCACUCUUCCCACUAUUUUCUUAGAUCUGAAUGGCAGCAUAAACAGCUCAAAUCUGAACACAUAUGCAAGGCGAUAAUUGAUUAUGAAGGCUGCAGAUGUAGUUUUUAUUGCAGAACCUUGGACUGCCAUGGACAGCAAAGACCAUUCUGCAGGUUAUCGAGCAAGUUGAAGUUGAGUAUGUACUAGAAAAGGCUGAAUUUGAUGGUCAUUUGGAUGAGGAGUUUAGGAACGAUUCUCUGAAUUCUCUGGUGUUUACAUAUAUACAAAAGCAGAUUGGUGUAGAUCUGCCUAUUAUAACCCAUGUAUCUGGAUUUAUUUAUUUAUUUUUUUUUUUUUUUUUUUUUAAUGUCUUGUAAUAUUUGUUCACUUUGAAAAAUGGUACCAAUUUUAUAUCGUUUAUAAAUUGUCCUUUUCUACAUUGAAGUACAAUGAAAUAUUACUGAAAUUCAAGGACCUAGGUAAGUAAGUGUGAAUGGGGGAGCAGUUUUGAAAA